UACCAGCACCCCGAGUGGUCGGGACGAUUAUUGGGCCUAAAGCAUCCGUAGCCGGUCAUGCAAGUCUUCCGUUAAAUCCAGCCGCUCAACGGUUGGGCUGCGGAGGAUACUACGUGGCUAGGAGGCGGGAGAGGCAAGCGGUACUCAGUGGGUAGGGGUAAAAUCCUUUGAUCCAUUGAAGACCACCAGUGGCGAAGGCGGCUUGCUGGGCAGUAGCUGACGCUGAUGCGCGACAGCGUGGGGAGCAAACAGG
rnacentral:rRNA from 1 species